rnacentral:rRNA from 1 species
AGAGUUUGAUCCUGGCUCAGAUUGAACGCUGGCGGCGUGCCUAACACAUGCAAGUCGAACGAAGUUAUGGAGCUUGCUCUAUAGCUUAGUGGCGCACGGGUGAGUAACACGUGGAUGAUCUACCCAUCAGUUUGGGAUAACAGUUGGAAACGACUGCUAAUACCGGAUACGAUCUUUAAUCACAUUAAGGUGAAAGGGGGCCUCUGCAUAUGCUCUCGCUGAUGGAUGAGUCCGCGUCUCAUUAGGUAGUUGGUAGGGUAAAGGCCUACCAAGCCGAUGAUGAGUAGCCGGCCUGAGAGGGUAAUCGGCCACACUGGGACUGGAACACGGCCCAGACUCCUACGGGAGGCAGCAGUGGGGAAUAUUGCGCAAUGGGCGAAAGCCUGACGCAGCGACGCCGCGUGAGGGAUGAAGGCUUUCGGGUCGUAAACCUCUGUCGGGAGGGAAGAACUGGUGGGGUGCUAAUCAGCUCCACUUUGACGGUACCUCCAAAGGAAGCACCGGCUAACUCCGUGCCAGCAGCCGCGGUAAUACGGAGGGUGCAAGCGUUAAUCGGAAUCACUGGGCGUAAAGCGCGCGUAGGCGGCUUGAUAAGUCAGGGGUGAAAUCCCACAGCUCACCUGUGGAACUGCCCUUGAUACUGUCUUGCUUGAGUGUGUGAGAGGAUGGUGGAAUUCCUGGUGUAGGAGUGAAAUCCGUAGAGAUCAGGAGGAAGAUCAGUGGCGAAGGCGACCAUCUGGCACAAUACUGACGCUGAGGUGCGAAAGCGUGGGUAGCAAACAGGAUUAGAUACCCUGGUAGUCG